AAAGAAGGUCUUGACCUUACAAAGACUUGACCUUGCAUGUGGAUACUCAUCGACUACUCCAGCCAGAGGGACGAAACUCUUUCCUCACUACCGCCAUCUCUGCAACAGCUCAGACAAUGAGAAGCCACCACAUUUCAAACCACCAUUUUACACCAAUGGACUUUUAAUCGGACUUUCCUACUUACCCUUUUUCUCCUUAAAAAAAGCAUCCCCCCCCGACUUUGUUUCCUGUCCUUGCUUAUGGUUUUGCCACGGCUUGUAUGUCCCAGAGUACAAUUUUUCAUUCCUGAAUAAAACCAUCUUCUUUUGGUAAAAUAACUGGCAGUUUCUAUUUUUAAGGUUAACAAUUCUUGGUGAUCAGAAGUGGGCUCCAGAGAAGACCCCAACUGCUCCAGAGCUGGCUAGCCAACAGAAUUUAUGGAUCAAAAUCAUCCCAACUUUUCAGAAUGCAUCCCACAGGAGUAUUGGCCUUGGUUGGAGAAUUGCCCAUCUAUAGGAAAAGGAGGAAGAGGCACCCCUUAUGUUAAUUGUCCCAUAGCUGGCCAGGAGAAGCUUCAUGUCCUGAUCCUGAUAGUUGGACAGGAGAAGAAGCCUCAUCUCCUGGCCCUGCAUUUUGCCUGGCUACUCCACUGGCAGCCAAAAGCUUUGUCAGUCUCGUGAGGUGCUGGGAGCAGUCACUCUUGUCCAAGUUGACCCUACCUCCAAGAACUGACCUUGUCUUCCCUGAUUUCUCCUAUCGCUCUGUUUUCUGCCUGCAGGACUUUGGGGGUAUCGACUACGACCAAGCAAGACUUCCCUGGUUUAGAAGGAUGCACUCAUUUUAUUUUGGCCCAAGAAUAAUCAUCUUUACAAAUAUAUUUUAAAAGGCUUGUGAAAACCAUUUUUUGUAAGGAUAAAAUUGGCUGCCCAGAGGGCUAAAAGGGCCAAAGGAGAGGUCUAUUUCCUCGCCUUUUUCAGCAGUGCCCACAGAAAUGUGUUCUAGCCAUUUCGAGUAUCUAGGCUGUUACAAAUUGGAGGACACUGGGCUAAGUGUAGCAAAAUGGCUCCUAUGUAUUCUAGUGAAAGCCCUUUAUAUAUUA